AUACCCCAUAGUUCACCACGCCUGGAACGGUGGGUGGAUGAAAGCUCCGGCGGCAUAGGAUGGGCCUGCGGCGUAUCAGGUUGUAGGGGGUGUAAUGUACCCUCUAGCCAUCUACGCGUACGGGUGUUGGGAGACAUCGCCCGGAGAUGGAUUCUGAGACACGAAUCCAGACCCUACGGGGUGCAGCAGGCGCGAAAACUUGGCAAUGCGAGAAAUCGUGACCAGGGAACUCCAAGUGCAUCGGGUAAGACCGAUGCUUUUCUUGACUCUUCAAAGGUCUUGGAAUAAGGGGUGGGUAAGGACGGUGCCAGCCGCCGCGGUAAUACCGGCGCCUCAAGUGGUAGUCGCUUUUAUUGGGCCUAAAACGUCCGUAGCCGGUUUGGUACAUUCGUGGGUAAAUCAAGGCGCUCAACGUCUUGAAUUCUGCGAGCACGGCCAGACUUGGGACCGGGUGAGGUGUGGGGUACUCUCAGGGUAGGGGUAAAAUCCUGUCAUCCUGAGAGGACCACCUGUUGCGAAGGCGCCACACUAGAACGGAUCCGACGGUCAGGGACGAAGCCUAGGGGCACGAACCGGAUUAGAUACCCGGGUAGUCCUAGGUGUAAACGCUGUGGACU
rnacentral:rRNA from 1 species